CUGUUACAAAAUAUCUGAAUGUAACAGUUUUGAAUCCUCGAAUAGUGAGGACGCUGGUUUAAAACCGAUUUUAGGAAGUCAUAAUUUGCUUGAAAAUCUUAGUGCUACUAAAAUUUUACAUCAAGAUAGCAAGCCUGAAAACGACAGUAAUAAUUUAAAUAGUAAAUUAACUAUUAAGCCCACAAAAGAAAACAUUAAAAAAAGCAACAAAAUUUACUUGAAUUACAGCUCUAAAGCUAAUAAAAAGAGCCAACUACUUAUUCGAAAUCUGAACCGAUCAAAAAUAUUAAAUACCACAAAACAAUUGAUUGCAUUACGAACAUUGCAACGAAAAGAAGUCAUCGAUAGUUCUACUGAGCCAGCAGUAUUUGAUGAAAAGCUUAAAACUAUAGUAUCAAAUAAUUCAACAAGCAUCGAUUCAACAGUAAAAGAAGAUAAAAUCUUAAAUACAACAGAGUCGUGUGUGUCAUGUAAUUUUUUUAAGGAUGUAACUACCGAUGUAAAUGGUUUGAAUUCAAUAGCAGUUUGCAAAGGAAUCAAUGUUAGUUUUGCACAUUCAGACAUAUUGGAUAUGGAAAAUAUAAAGAAAAGCAACGAAGCAAUUCUUAAGGUGUCUUGCGAUAUCACUAAGAAGAAUUUAUAUUUAAAAUCGACCCAGAAUCAGAAUCGUAAGCAUAUAGCUCCUUCAACUCUGAUAGAAUUAGAAGUGAAAAGAGCAUUAGGAAUGAUAUCUCAAGAAAUGCAACCAGGUUUAUUAUCACAGGAACUGAUAUCAAGGGAUAAUAAGGAAUACAGCCUGAUGCAUGGUUUGGAAGAAAUGAAAGAGCACAUAAUUGUGUGCUUAAAUGAAUUAUCGUGCGCUGCAGUUUUAAAAUCUGAAUUGAAAAAGAUUAAACUUAGUCUGACACAAGUGAAUCCAGAAUGUAUCUCGGAGGAAAUUGCUAGCCGCUACAGCAACGAUGAACUGAAAGUAACCUUUUUAAAACUGAAGCGAGUUUCUGAUCACACUGUGUUUGUUAAAUGGCAUAUUCCAAAAGCGCUUUCUGAAGUUCGGGGUUACGAGCUUCAAUUAGAAGGUCGGAUCGUGCAGAAAAUAUCGAAUCCAAUUCGGAAUGUGGCGGUGGUGACAUGUCUUCCCCACGCAGAAAAAGUCCUCUUCAGCAUCAAGACCAUUACCAACGCUCCCAAUAUGCACUACCCUAUCACCACUACAGUCUACUACCCCAGACAGAAGUCCUCUCAUAGAUCAUUGACGCAUUAAAACAGGAUGUUUAGGAGUACCAGAAUGAAUAAUGGUUGUUGUUUAAUUCACUGGAAUCGAAGCAUGCCAUAGUGUAUAUUGACUGAUGUAUGUGUAGGUUAAUAACGAAACAUUAUCUAUCAACAGAAAGCAAAACUUGGUAAAUCCAUAUUUCAGGUCACUUGAAAUCUUUCAAUGGGAAAGACGCUUCCCUAAAAACGGUUCUAGGAAGUCAUCCUAGUGCAACAAAAAUUAUGCGGCAAGAAAUUUAUCCAGUGCUACGAAAGUUAUGCGGCAAGAAAUUCCAGUGCUACAAAAAUAAUGCGUAAAGAAAUUGAUCCAGAGCUACGAAAAUUAUGCGUAAUGAAAUUAAUGCAGUGCUACGAAAAUUAUGCGUAAAGAAAUUGAUCCAGUGCUACGAAAAUUAUGCGUAAAGAAAUUGAUCCUGUGCUACGAAAAUUAUGCGUAAAGAAAUUGAUCCAGUGCUACGAAAAUUAUGCGUAAAGAAAUUGAUCCAGUGCUACGAAAAUUAUGCGGCAAGAAAUUCCAGUGCUACGAAAAUUAUACGGCAAGAAAUUUAUCCCCAAAACGACAGUCGUAAUUUGAAUAGUAAAGUAAUUUGAAAUACCUUAGGUAAAUGAUAUAUUUUUUAAUGAUGUGUUCAAAUGUCAAUAAUGAAGUUCUGCUGCACUGGAUGAAACUAGAUUAUCUCGUUGAAAAUAGUAGGUACAUAAUAAUUAUAAAAUAAUGGUGUAUAGCAAAAUCCAUCAGUCCCAUACACACAAACUGACUGACAGUGUAAUUUUAGUAACAGUACUCCCAGUACGGACAGCAAGAUGAUAUGUAAAACAGCGUUUGUCCCACGGGAUAUUUAAUUUUGGGUUUAAAAUCAGUACGUCUGAUAUACGUAGUCCCGUUGCGAGUCGGAGUGGUGACCGGAAUGUUGUUAACGCCAGCGUCAUCAGGUGGACGUCAGAUUGCACGCAAUACAUUUGACUAGCUAGAUUUUUUAAGUGUCUGCCUGGAAGUGACGUCUUUAUGACUCAUUAAGAUGGCGGCCUGUCCCUUUCUUGAAUUGCGGGAUUCUAUUAUGCACAUGAAUCGCAUAAGGCUGAUGACACUAGAAUGUAAGAAUGUUUACACUUAAUAAACCUGGUUUUUAUUCUUCUGGAGUUGUCUAAACAUCCUGUUUUAUGCUAACAUAAACGUGGUCUAAACCACGAACUUAAGUUUGGAUGUAUUUAUGUUAUAUAAAUCACUCUUGUUUCAGUUUAGCCAAUAACACUGUUAUUUGUUCAAUAAAUUAUUUCAAUACUUU